UAGGGAAUCUUCCGCAAUGGGCGAAAGCUUGACGGGACAAAGCAGCGUGAGUGAUGAAGGUCUUCGGAUCGUAAAACUCUGUUAUUAGGGAAGAACAAAUGUGUAAGUAACUAUGCACGUCUUGACGGUACCUAAUCAGAAAGCCACGGCUAACUACGUGCCAGCAGCCGCGGUAAUACGUAGGUGGCAAGCGUUAUCCGGAAUUAUUGGGCGUAAAGCGCGCGUAGGCGGUUUUUUAAGUCUGAUGUGAAAGCCCACGGCUCAACCGUGGAGGGUCAUUGGAAACUGGAAACCUUGAGUGCAGAAGAGGAAAUUGGAAUUCCAUGUGUAGCGGUGAACUGCGCAGCGAUAUGGAGGAACACCAGUGGCGAAGGCGACUUUCUGGUCUGUAACUGACGCUGAUGUGCGAAAGCGUGGGGAUCAAACAGG
rnacentral:rRNA from 1 species